GGCGGGGUACCCAAGCGGUCAAAAGGAACCGGCUGUAAACCGGUCGCUUCGGCUUCGCAGGUUCGAAUCCUGCCCCCGCCACCA
rnacentral:tRNA from 1 species